UACAGAGGUCUCAAGCGUUGUUCGGAUUCAUUGGGCGUAAAGGGUGCGUAGGCGGCGCGGUAAGUCGGGUGUGAAAUCUCGGAGCUUAACUUCGAAACUGCAUUCGAUACUGCCGUGCUUGAGGACUGGAGAGGAGACUGGAAUUUACGGUGUAGCGGUGAAAUGCGUAGAUAUCGUAAGGAAGACCAGUGGCGAAGGCGGCUCUCUGGGCCUUACCUGACGCUGAGGAGCGAAAGCGUGGGUAGCGAACAGG
rnacentral:rRNA from 1 species